rnacentral:rRNA from 1 species
UACGGAGGGUGCAAGCGUUAUCCGGAUUCACUGGGUUUAAAGGGUGCGUAGGCUGUGCAGAAAGUUGGGUGUGAAAUACCUCGGCUUAACCGAGGAAUUGCGCCCAAAACUACUGUGCUCGAGGAAGAUAGAGGUGAGCGGAACUUAGGGUGGAGCGGUGAAAUGCGUUGAUAUCCUAAGGAACACCGGUGGCGAAAGCGGCUCACUGGAUCUUAUCUGACGCUGAGGCACGAAAGCCAGGGUAGCGAACGGG